rnacentral:lncRNA from 1 species
CCCCAGCAAAGGGGGCCCAGAGGUAAAUUAAACCAGGGUUUUAGCCAGGGGCCCUCCUCCCAGAGGGGGAGCUCUCCCGAGGCUAGUACCUCCAGAACAAGCCAGGGAAAGAAGCCAGCCUUUUUCACUCACCUACAUUUCUAAUAGAAAAUAGAAGGCGUUCAAGGUCCUCAGCCAGAGCUCCUCCAGGGUCCUGCAAGUCAAGUUUCAAGGCAAAAGCUCUCCUCGCAGGAAGUUCUUACCACUUCUAAGGACCGUCACUUCCUAUACCUUCCUUCCAUUUUACGUGGACCAGCAAAAUUGUCCAGCUAUGUGAAGACUGGAUUUAGCUAUCUCCUGAUUGUAGCAAUGAAGAUACUUAGUCUAACAAAAUCAGGAAUGUCUACACCCAUACUUAAGGAUUAAGUAUUGAGGAGGAUGGCCUUCAACAGACAUGUGGAGAAACAGCUGGCAGACCCCUGGGCUGUCCUAAGUCAAGCUUAAUCUACCACUGGCACAGAUGAGACGCAGGAAAGUGAUGUAAAACCGUCUAUCUAUUUUGUGUCACUUCCUUUCUUCAGGCUCUUUCCCAGAGAGGUGGCUCUGGCUAGUCACUUCCUGUGAGCAGGCCUGGGUGCCAGUUCGAUGCUGGACCUCAAGUCUGGAGGAGCUCCCUCCGACAGCUUCCUUGAGACGGUCACAUGUAGGAGGAAGAAUUGUAACCUCUGGAAGGGAAACAGUUCACUGGGGUUACUGACAGAUCCCACCACUUUGGAGGAAACUUCCCUGUGAGAGCUCCUCUGUUUUCCUCGAAGAGUUCCUAAAGCCCAAGACCUCGGCCACUGGUUACUGAAUGUGUUAACCCAGCUCACUUCCAGGCUUAGGAGGACGCCCCUCUCAUUCUGGAUGGCUUAUCACAACCAGGGUAUGCAGAGCUUGAAUUAAAAUUCUGCUUUCAGUUCUUACGAGCCAUACAGCCAACGACACAUAAUCUCAACUCUCUGACCUUCAUAUUCUUCAUCUAAAAAAUGGG